rnacentral:rRNA from 1 species
CUUGUACACACCGCCCGUCACACCAUGGAAGUUGGUUCAACCUUAAGCCGGCUCGCCAACCGCAAGGAGGCAGCCGACCACGGUCGGGUCAAUGACUGGGGUG